UUUUCGCUGCAGUCGAUUUAGCAUGCUAGUUGCACGAGUUCAGACUCGUAGCAGAUAGCUCAGUAACACGUGGCCAAACUACCCUAUGGAUCCGGAUACCCUCGGGAAACUGAGACUAAUCCGGAAUACCACUCGAUGCCUGGAACUGGCUCGAGUGCGAAACGCUCCGGCGCCAUAGGAUGUGGCUGCGGCCGAUUAGGUAGACGGUGGGGUAACGGCCCACCGUGCCGAUAAUCGGUACGGGUUGUGAGAGCAAGAGCCCGGAGACGGUAUCUGAGACAAGAUACCGGGCCCUACGGGGCGCAGCAGGCGCGAAACCUUUACACUGCACGACAGUGCGAUAAGGGGACUCCAAGUGCGAGGGCAUAUAGUCCUCGCUUUUCACGACCGUAAGGUGGUCGUAGAAUAAGUGCUGGGCAAGACCGGUGCCAGCCGCCGCG
rnacentral:rRNA from 1 species